GACAGAGGCCACAAGCGUUAGGCGGAAUCACUGGGCUUAAAGCGUGUGUAGGCGGAUCGUUAAGUGCCUUGUGAAAUCCCCCGGCUCAACCGGGGAACGGCUGGGCAUACUGGCGGUCUUGAGCUGCCUAGGGGCGACUGGAACAAACGGUGGAGCGGUGAAAUGCGUAGAUAUCGUUUGGAACGCCAAUGGUGAAAACGGGUCGCUGGGGGCAAGAUGACGCUGAGACACGAAAGCCAGGGGAGCAAACGGG
rnacentral:rRNA from 1 species